ACGUCUAUAUACGUAUAGCAUAUCAAUAAGCGGAGGAAAAGAAACUAACAAGGAUUCCCUUAGUAACGGCGAGUGAAGCGGGAAGAGCUCAAAUUUGAAAUCUUCAAGGUUUUACCUUGACGAAUUGUAGUUUAAAGAAGUGUUUUCUGUUAGAGAGUUUGGUAAAAGUUCUUUGGAAUAGGACAUCAUAGAAGGGUGAGAAUCCCGUAUUUGGUUAUUCUUUCUAGCUUUGUGAUACACUUUCAAAGAGUCGGAUUGUUUGGGAAUGCAGUCCAAAAUGGGUGGUAAAUUUCAUCUAAAGCUAAAUAUUGGCGAGAGACCGAUAGCGAACAAGUACCGUGAGGGAAAGAUGAAAAGAACUUUGAAAAGAGAGUUAAACAGUACGUGAAAUUGUCAAAAGGGAAGCGUUUGACACCAGUGUUGUUUUUCCGAAAAUCAAUUAAGAGUGGCUUGAUUUUGUGUUGUAUUGACCUUAUCAGCUUUCUUCACUCUUUUUCGAGUCUUUCUUAAUGCACUUUUCGGUUAACAAGUCAACAUCAAUUUCUUUUGUUGUAAAAGGGUAUUUGGAAGGUGGCUUUCUUUUCGGAGAAAGUGUUUAUAGCCUUAUACCUCUACAAUCGGAGAGAUUGAGGUCUGCAGCGUAGAUCCUUCGGGGCUAGAUACACUUGUGCUAAGUUAUAGCUUUUCAUAGACAACUUGUUGACUAUGUUUAGUCAUGUAGCUUACCCGCUUGUGCUAUUUUACCUACGCUUAGGAUGUUGAGUCAUCACACAUCUCU
rnacentral:rRNA from 1 species